UACGGGAGGCAGCAGUAGGGAAUCUUGCGCAAUGGGGAAACCCUGACGCAGCCAUGCCGCGUGAAUGAUGAAGGUCUUAGGAUUGUAAAAUUCUUUCAGCGGGGAAGAUAAUGACUGUACCCGCAGAAGAAGCUCCGGCUAACUUCGUGCCAGCAGCCGCGGUAAUACGAAGGGGCUAGCGUUGCUCGGAAUUACUGGGCGUAAAGGGCGCGUAGGCGGGUGUUUAAGUCAGAGGUCAAAUCCCAGGGCUCAACCCUGGAACUGCCUUUUGAUACUGGGCACCUAGAGUACGGGAGAGGUGUGUGGAACUCCGAGUGUAGAGGUGAAAUUCGUAGAUAUUCGGAAGAACACCAGUGGCGAAGGCGACACACUGGCCCGUUACUGACGCUGAGGCGCGAAAGCGUGGGGAGCAAACAGGGAUUAGAUACC
rnacentral:rRNA from 1 species